rnacentral:rRNA from 1 species
CAAAAACAUGUCCUUUAGAAAAUUAUUUAAGGUCUGACCUGCCCACUGAAAAAUUAAAUGGCCGCAGUAUUUUAACUGUGCAAAGGUAGCAUAAUCAUUAGUCUUUUAAUUGAAGGCUUGUAUGAAUGGUUGGACGAAACGUGAGCUGUAUCAAGAGAAUUUAUAUUAGAAUUUUAUUUUUCAUUAAAAAAGAUGAAAUAGAAUUUAAAGACGAGAAGACCCUAUAGAUUUUUAUAAAUUAAAAUAACAUAAUUAUUUAGAAUUUUAUAUUUAUGUUAUUUAUGUUUAUUUUAUUGGGGUGAUGUAAAAAUUUGUUAAACUUUUUUUUUAUUAUUACAUUAAUUUAUGAAUGUUUGAUCCAUUAGUAGUGAUUAUAAGUUUAAAUUACCUUAGGGAUAACAGCGUAAUUUCUUUGGAGAGUUCUUAUCGAUAAAGAAGGUUGCGACCUCGAUGUUGGAUUAAAAUUAAUGUUGGGUGUAGAAGUUCAAUUUUUAAGUCUGUUCGACCUUUAAUUU